AAGCGUUAAUCGGAAUUACUGGGCGUAAAGCGCACGCAGGCGGUUUGUUAAGUCAGAUGUGAAAUCCCCGCGCUUAACGUGGGAACUGCAUUUGAAACUGGCAAGCUAGAGUCUUGUAGAGGGGGGUAGAAUUCCAGGUGUAGCGGUGAAAUGCGUAGAGGUCUGGAGGAAUACCGGUGGCGAAGGCGGCCCCCUGGACAAAGACUGACGCUCAGGUGCGAAAGCGUGGGGAGCAAACAGGAUUAGAUACCCUGGUAGUCCACGCUGUAAACGAUGUCGACUUGGAGGUUGUGCCCUUGAGGCGUGGCUUCCGGAGCUAACGCGUUAAGUCGACCGCCUGGGGAGUACGGCCGCAAGGUUAAAACUCAAAUGAAUUGACGGGGGCCCGCACAAGCGGUGGAGCAUGUGGUUUAAUUCGAUGCAACGCGAAGAACCUUACCUACUCUUGACAUCCACGGAAUUCGCCAGAGAUGGCUUAGUGCCUUCGGGAACCGUGAGACAGGUGCUGCAUGGCUGUCGUCAGCUCGUGUUGUGAAAUGUUGGGUUAAGUCCCGCAACGAGCGCAACCCUUAUCCUUUGUUGCCAGCACGUAAUGGUGGGAACUCAAAGGAGACUGCCGGUGAUAAACCGGAGGAAGGUGGGGAUGACGUCAAGUCAUCAUGGCCCUUACGAGUAGGGCUACACACGUGCUACAAUGGCAUAUACAAAGAGAAGCGAACUCGCGAGAGCAAGCGGACCUCAUAAAGUAUGUCGUAGUCCGGAUUGGAGUCUGCAACUCGACUCCAUGAAGUCGGAAUCGCUAGUAAUCGUAGAUCAGAAUGCUACGGUGAAUACGUUCCCGGGCCUUGUACACACCGCCCGUCACACCAUGGGAGUGGGUUGCAAAAGAAGUAGGUAGCUUAACCUUCGGGAGGGCGCUUACCACUUUGUGAUUCAUGACUGGGGUGAAGUCGUAACAA
rnacentral:rRNA from 1 species